rnacentral:rRNA from 1 species
GAUGAACGCUGGCGGCGUGCCUAAUACAUGCAAGUCGAGCGAACAGACGAGGAGCUUGCUCCUCUGACGUUAGCGGCGGACGGGUGAGUAACACGUGGAUAACCUACCUAUAAGACUGGGAUAACUUCGGGAAACCGGAGCUAAUACCGGAUAAUAUAUUGAACCGCAUGGUUCAAUAGUGAAAGACGGUUUUGCUGUCACUUCUAGAUGGAUCCGCGCCGCAUUAGCUAGUUGGUAAGGUAACGGCUUACCAAGGCGACGAUGCGUAGCCGACCUGAGAGGGUGAUCGGCCACACUGGAACUGAGACACGGUCCAGAGUCCUACGGGAGGCAGCAGUAGGGAAUGGUACGCAAUGGGCGAAAGCAUGACGGAGCAACGCCGCGUGAGUGAAGAAGGUCUUCGGAUCGUAAAACUCUGUUAUGAGGGAAGAACAAAUGUGUAAGUAACUAUGCACGUCGUGACGGUACCUAAUCAGAAAGCAACGGCUAACUACGUG